rnacentral:lncRNA from 1 species
UUCCUUCUUCUCAGCCCCGGUUGAUGACAAGUCCACUGUGACUCUCCCUUCCCUGAACCCAUAAAGUCAGCAUCUCAUCACAAAAGACUGAGCUGCUUGUUAAGGGUCUCAAGUGCCUUUGCUUGGUCUGCCAAACAGACUGUAAGGUACCAGAAGAUAGGCUUGGGUUUCCUAUUCCUGUGGUUUUCUCCCAAACUGCCUGCACUACCCAGGGUGAUCUGCUGGACAAAUUGGCACAAGCCCAGUGAAUGGAGUCCCUGGAGGGCCACAGUCAGAGAAGAAUCUAGCCUGGUGUGGCUGUGUGAGUCACACGGCAGUGUGGGGAGCCUGAGGUUUGGGCCACUAGGGGAGAGAUCGCCAGCCGUCCCAUACCCAAAGCUUGUGUCUCAUCCGUCCUUUGAAAUUGAGGCAGACAAAUGGUGACAAGGACAAAUCUUGGAAGGUGAGCAUGUGCCUGAUGCCAGCCAUUCCCCUGGAGACUCCCCUAUGCCCACCAGACACCCAGAGACCUACAUAAUCUCAACCUCUAUAACUAUCACUCAUUUUCAGACCAGCUGCACCCUAAAGCCUUCUAUUUUACUUUCCUGAAGCUCUUGGUGUUGUUGGGGCACUAUUACCCUGCAUGAGGGAGGUAGACUCAUCCAAGCCAUGUGUAAAUGCUGAUUCUAGGAAGUCAGGACCCCAAGCUGGAAGCCCAAAUCCACCAAGUAUUAGCCUUGAACAAAUAUCAGUGCUCUUCAUCUGUAAAAUAGAGGAGUUAGAAGCAAACAGGUGUCUUGAAAAGAUGGAGCCAGAAGAUCGGGGAAUAGCUGUGGCUCUGCUGCUAUUAGUCACGUGACUGGGCAAGUAAUUCAAGGUCUGUAAGCCUCCAUUCCCACAUCUGUAAAAUGGGUAUAUAAUGCCCUCCCAGGGUCUGCCUCAGUGAAUUAAAGGGAUAAAUAAAAUUCUUAGACACUUUAUAAAGAAUUAUAAA